GAUGAACGCUGACAGAAUGCUUAACACAUGCAAGUCGAUUCGAUUUACCUUCGGGUAUUGAGGAUGGCGGACGGGUGAGUAACGCGUAAGGAACUUGCCUCUUGGUCUGGGACAACUGUUGGAAACGACAGCUAAUACCGGAUAUUAUGAGAUUCUCGCAUGGGAAACUUAUGAAAGCUAUAUGCGCCAAGAGAGAGCCUUGCGUUCCAUUAGCUAGUUGGUGGGGUAACGGCCCACCAAGGCGACGAUGGAUAGCCGGCCUGAGAGGGUGAACGGCCACAAGGGGACUGAGACACGGCCCUUACUCCUACGGGAGGCAGCAGUGGGGAAUAUUGGACAAUGGGCCACAAGCCUGAUCCAGCAAUUCUGUGUGCACGAUGAAGGUCUUCGGAUUGUAAAGUGCUUUCAGUUGGGAAGAAGAAAGUGACGGUACCAACAGAAGAAGCGACGGCUAAAUACGUGCCAGCAGCCGCGGUAAUACGUAUGUCGCAAGCGUUAUCCGGAUUUAUUGGGCGUAAAGCGCGUCUAGGCGGAAAAAUAAGUCUGAUGUUAAAAUGCGGGGCUCAACUCCGUAUUGCGUUGGAAACUGUUUUUCUAGAGUACUGGAGAGGUGGGCGGAACUACAAGUGUAGAGGUGAAAUUCGUAGAUAUUUGUAGGAAUGNCGAUGGAGAAGUCANCUCACUGGACAGANACUGACGCUAAAGCGCGAAAGCGUGGGGAGCAAACAGGANUAGAUACCCUGG
rnacentral:rRNA from 1 species